rnacentral:rRNA from 1 species
GAAACCGUGUACGUACAAGCAGUGGGAGCACGCUUAGGCGUGUGACUGCGUACCUUUUGUAUAAUGGGUCAGCGACUUAUAUUCUGUAGCAAGGUUAACCGAAUAGGGGAGCCGAAGGGAAACCGAGUCUUAACUGGGCGUUAAGUUGCAGGGUAUAGACCCGAAACCCGGUGAUCUAGCCAUGGGCAGGUUGAAGGUUGGGUAACACUAACUGGAGGACCGAACCGACUAAUGUUGAAAAAUUAGCGGAUGACUUGUGGCUGGGGGUGAAAGGCCAAUCAAACCGGGAGAUAGCUGGUUCUCCCCGAAAGCUAUUUAGGUAGCGCCUCGUGAAUUCAUCUCCGGGGGUAGAGCACUGUUUCGGCAAGGGGGUCAUCCCGACUUACCAACCCGAUGCAAACUGCGAAUACCGGAGAAUGUUAUCACGGGAGACACACGGCGGGUGCUAACGUCCGUCGUGAAGAGGGAAACAACCCAGACCGCCAGCUAAGGUCCCAAAGUCAUGGUUAAGUGGGAAACGAUGUGGGAAGGCCCAGACAGCCAGGAUGUUGGCUUAGAAGCAGCCAUCAUUUAAAGAAAGCGUAAUAGCUCACUGGUCGAGUCGGCCUGCGCGGAAGAUGUAACGGGGCUAAACCAUGCACCGAAGCUGCGGCAGCGACGCUUAUGCGUUGUUGGGUAGGGGAGCGUUCUGUAAGCCUGCGAAGGUGUGCUGUGAGGCAUGCUGGAGGUAUCAGAAGUGCGAAUGCUGACAUAAGUAACGAUAAAGCGGGUGAAAAGCCCGCUCGCCGGAAGACCAAGGGUUCCUGUCCAACGUUAAUCGGGGCAGGGUGAGUCGACCCCUAAGGCGAGGCCGAAAGGCGUAGUCGAUGGGAAACAGGUUAAUAUUCCUGUACUUGGUGUUACUGCGAAGGGGGGACGGAGAAGGCUAUGUUGGCCGGGCGACGGUUGUCCCGGUUUAAGCGUGUAGGCUGGUUUUCCAGGCAAAUCCGGAAAAUCAAGGCUGAGGCGUGAUGACGAGGCACUACGGUGCUGAAGCAACAAAUGCCAUGCUUCCAGGAAAAGCCUCUAAGCAUCAGGUAACAUCAAAUCGUACCCCAAACCGACACAGGUGGUCAGGUAGAGAAUACCAAGGCGCUUGAGAGAACUCGGGUGAAGGAACUAGGCAAAAUGGUGCCGUAACUUCGGGAGAAGGCACGCUGAUAUGUAGGUGAAGCGACUUGCUCGUGGAGCUGAAAUCAGUCGAAGAUACCAGCUGGCUGCAACUGUUUAUUAAAAACACAGCACUGUGCAAACACGAAAGUGGACGUAUACGGUGUGACGCCUGCCCGGUGCCGGAAGGUUAAUUGAUGGGGUCAGCGCAAGCGAAGCUCUUGAUCGAAGCCCCGGUAAACGGCGGCCGUAACUAUAACGGUCCUAAGGUAGCGAAAUUCCUUGUCGGGUAAGUUCCGACCUGCACGAAUGGCGUAAUGAUGGCCAGGCUGUCUCCACCCGAGACUCAGUGAAAUUGAACUCGCUGUGAAGAUGCAGUGUACCCGCGGCAAGACGGAAAGACCCCGUGAACCUUUACUAUAGCUUGACACUGAACAUUGAGCCUUGAUGUGUAGGAUAGGUGGGAGGCUUUGAAGUGUGGACGCCAGUCUGCAUGGAGCCGACCUUGAAAUACCACCCUUUAAUGUUUGAUGUUCUAACGUUGACCCGUAAUCCGGGUUGCGGACAGUGUCUGGUGGGUAGUUUGACUGGGGCGGUCUCCUCCUAAAGAGUAACGGAGGAGCACGAAGGUUGGCUAAUCCUGGUCGGACAUCAGGAGGUUAGUGCAAUGGCAUAAGCCAGCUUGACUGCGAGCGUGACGGCGCGAGCAGGUGCGAAAGCAGGUCAUAGUGAUCCGGUGGUUCUGAAUGGAAGGGCCAUCGCUCAACGGAUAAAAGGUACUCCGGGGAUAACAGGCUGAUACCGCCCAAGAGUUCAUAUCGACGGCGGUGUUUGGCACCUCGAUGUCGGCUCAUCACAUCCUGGGGCUGAAGUAGGUCCCAAGGGUAUGGCUGUUCGCCAUUUAAAGUGGUACGCGAGCUGGGUUUAGAACGUCGUGAGACAGUUCGGUCCCUAUCUGCCGUGGGCGCUGGAGAACUGAGGGGGGCUGCUCCUAGUACGAGAGGACCGGAGUGGACGCAUCACUGGUGUUCGGGUUGUCAUGCCAAUGGCACUGCCCGGUAGCUAAAUGCGGAAGAGAUAAGUGCUGAAAGCAUCUAAGCACGAAACUUGCCCCGAGAUGAGUUCUCCCUGACUCCUUGAGAGUCCUGAAGGAACGUUGAAGACGACGACGUUGAU